rnacentral:rRNA from 1 species
AACGAACGCUGGCGGCAGGCCUAACACAUGCAAGUCGAGCGCCCCGCAAGGGGAGCGGCGGACGGGUGAGUAACGCGUGGGAAUAUGCCCUUUGCUACGGAAUAGUCUCGGGAAACUGGGGGUAAUACCGUAUACGCCCUUUGGGGGAAAGAUUUAUCGGCGAAGGAUUAGCCCGCGUUGGAUUAGGUAGUUGGUGGGGUAAUGGCCUACCAAGCCGACGAUCCAUAGCUGGUUUGAGAGGAUGAUCAGCCACACUGGGACUGAGACACGGCCCAGACUCCUACGGGAGGCAGCAGUGGGGAACCUUAGACAAUGGGGGCAACCCUGAUCUAGCCAUGCCGCGUGAGUGAUGAAGGCCUUAGGGUUGUAAAGCUCUUUCAGCUGGGAAGAUAAUGACGGUACCAGCAGAAGAAGCCCCGGCUAACUCCGUG